AGGGAAAUUGAGUAAGAAGGAGAAGUCUGUCUGCGUUUUAAAAUUUAAGUCAGAGGGGAUAGUUUUAAGUUGAGUUGAGUUCUAGGCAGUGGGGAUCUGAGAGUUGAAGGGUGAACGUCAAUAAGUGCUCUUGCUAUUGUUUUUUUGAUUAUAUAUUACCUAAAAAAAAAAAAAAAACUUAACCUGACAGACAUUAAAUAGAAUUGUGAGUAAAUCGUGUAACAACGCGUACAAACAUUCAGUUUGCAACAACUUACGGGUUAAACAAAAAUCUCUACCUCUGUAAAUAUUGAUGAAAAGGAAACAAGCAAAAAUUUAUUUAAAAAUUUUCAAAUUUAUUGUGUAAUGUUCUCGGGCUACGAUUAGAAGAGAAAAACAAAAAUCAAUUACUUAGUCAAUUCUUAUAUAUGUGUGCACAUGCUUUUCCUCAAAGAGAACAAAAGCAAAAUAGAAUCGUUGUGCAAUCGAGAUCAAUCGAGAAAUAUGAAUAGACAAAAGACCACAUAAGGCAGCUUGAAACUGUUCGUUAGCGUUGGUCCUAAAGUCGCGUUCGAGCGAAAUCCAAGUAUACGUUUAAUGAAGGAAAAUAUUCUAAUUUUAUAUUGAGUGACAUUUAACAGAAAAAUUCAUCCAAAUUCUGGAUCUGAUAAUAAUAACGAAAGUCGUGUACUUGUCACAUUUUGAUAAUCAAUUCAAUAAUUUUUUUAUUUGAAUAUCAAAAAAAGAAAAAAAAGGAAAAGGAA